rnacentral:lncRNA from 1 species
CAGGGCACCAGCAACACCCUGAAGAGGAGGCUUCUGGACAAAACCAGAAUAGGGACACAUCUCCAAGAAAAGGACUGUCCCCAGUCCCCAGAGUGGAAAGACCGGACCCUGUGAAAGGGGAUUCCAGGCCACCCUGUGAAAUCACCGUGCGCGGGCAGACAGAAGUCUUGGUGAGGGGCUGGUGUGGAGCAGGAUGCCGCGGGAAUGCCACCAUCGGAUGCGUCAGGGUGGGAAGAAACAAAGGCUGACAACUGCAGCACCAGAUAUGAUGUCCAGAGCUGCAGCAGCCAUCCUGAAACUAUGUGGCACCAGGCUAACACUGAGGAUGGUGGGCAGAGAGAUGGAAAAACUUGGGUCCUUGGUGACCUCAUCAAGCUGCUAAAUCACCUGAAGCUGCCUAUGCCCAGGAUCCUUGGUGGCUGCCUUCUCCCUCUGUCUUCACGUGGUCUUCCCAUGUGUGCCUGCGUCCUCAUCUCCUUUUCUUGUCUCCCACCUCCACCAGUCACACUGGAUCAGGGCACACCCAUGUGACCGCAGGAAGAAAAAAGAGAGGGAGUAAGUGGACCACCCACCCCAUCCACGAGGAGGGGCCCCACAUUGUCCUCUCCAUGGAGGAGUGGUGGCCAGGGCCCUGCAGCUGACCAGCCCUGGGGUUUAGGAGUUCUGGGCUUGGGCUGGGGCCAGGGCUCAGCUCGGCCCCCUCCUCAACCUGGGCCUUCAGGGGGUGUAAGGCACACACGAUCACCCCACAUUACAAAGGGGAGACUGAGGCCAUGCUAUCCUUCUCCCCAUCCUCAGGCUUCACUUAAAAACCCAGCUUUACUGAGGUAGUUGGC